CCCUCGUACUUCUGCUCCUAAUCUUCUCCAACUUGCUGCUGCUCUGCUUACUCUAUCUCCUUGCACCGCUGCUGCUGCUUCUCCCGCGCGCCCCAACCUGCUGCUGCUCUUCCCCCACGAAUCUGCUACAACUCCACUCUCCAGCGCCUCCUUUGCUGAUUCUUUGCUCUGAACCUCAAGUUGCUACUGCUUCUUCUUCUCACGUCACGGCUGCUGCUCUUCUUUUCUUUCCCCUACUGUUGCUCCUUCUCUGAACCUCACGCGCUGCUCCAUCUCCUAAACGCUGCUGCUUCUUCCUUGGCCUCCUGCUCUGCUCCUAAUCUGAACCAUAAAUUGCUGCUACUCCCCUUCAUUCUCUAAAUUUCUGUAGACUUGAGAUCAUAUGUAAUAUUCAUAUUUGGCUAGUGCUUGAAACUUGCUAUUGGUUCAGAUUUGUAACUGUAUAAUAAUGCUAUGACAUGUUCAGUUUCAGACUGGUGAUUGUUUAGUACUGUAGUACUGUUUUUGUUCAUCGGAGAGUAUUAGAACAGUGCCCUAUAAUACCAUAUUCAUAUUUGUGUGUGUGUGUGUGUGUGUGUGAAAUAUAUUAAUUAUGUACUGCACUUGCUACUGAUUAGUGUCCACUUUACUGUAGACUGUUGCUCAAGUUCCUAUGAUAUAUAUCAUGUUUGACAGUUUAGUCCUCUAGUUAUUGUUGCACUGAUUUAUGUCAAGAAGAUUUGGCUAGUGUGAUGUGAGUCCAGUACAUGUGCUUUAUAAUCCUGUUUGUAACCGGUGUUCAUUUUGUAGUCCCAGUGAUAUAUCUUGUACCUUGUGCUAGCUAUGAACCUGUGAUAUAUAUAUGUGUGUGUUAUGUUCAUGUCCUUUUACUUCUCUUGUCAUUGAUGAUAGCUUUUGUUAGUAUCUUAAUUUCUCAAGCAUUACGAAAAUACCAAAAAGAUUGUUGAAGAUAAUUUGAACCUUCCUUGCUACUGUGUUAUUUUCUUUAUUGUCAACUUUGGUUAGUUUAGGUCUAUAUUUCCUUGCAAUCAUCAUCUAAAUUCUAUUACCUAGCUUUAGCCGAGUAUAGUUGACGUCGCCUAGUCCCUGAGGAGAACACAACACUCACAGUUUGGGCGUAAAAACCCCACUGCACCUACUAUGAUCAUUUUGGCGCCGUUGCCGGGGAGUAGCGUCGAGAGAUUUUGUUAGGCCAUAGACUAGGUUUUUCUUGUUUUUCCCUUUGUGCUAUAUAUUUGUGAUAUAUCUCUAGCCACUAACACCUGUUUUAGUUAGUAUCUUUUUGUCUUCUUUUCCUUUUUGCAGUUGGAUUAUCCUCUCGGUUAUGGCUUACUAUUCAGAUCAUCAGGCUUACGCGAGCAACACUACAAACAGCACGGAAAGUGUUCAAGAACUGAUAGGUAAGAUUUCCCAUCGAUUAGAUGAUUUAGCUCGGCAGCGAGAAGGAGUUUUUGAGGAUAGGCCUAGUUCGUACGAUCCUUAUUCCAGAGGCCAUCCUUAUGUUGCUCCUACUUGCCAUAUUUGUGGAUUUCAGGGCCAUUCGCCCGCUGAAUGUCAGCGUGGCUACUCUCACACUCCGGAUUGUUUUGGCAUGAGCUUCACUCAAGAGCAUAGCUCAUACCAAAACAAUUACUCACAUGGGUGGCCUGAAAUCCCGAAUAUGUCAUAUAGGAGCAACAACACUGAGAUCUCACAGUUUGGUUCUAGUAAUCAUAUGCAGGGAUUCAAGUACAAUGAGGAGAACCACAACUAUGCUCCACAACAGAUUUAUUCACCUCCUACUCAUAUACCUCAAUACCAGGAGAUGUGUCCAAUGGAGUUAAAUGGUCCUCCAUUUCGUCAACCAACAACUCCAGCACCUUUCGAGCAAAGAUGAGUUUGAUGACAUAGACAAGCUCACACUUUUGAGUCUCGAGUUCACUUGGAGUGCCGAGGAUGAUCCUAUUAGGAAGGUUAUACUAGAGGAAAUGAAGAAGAUUAAGAGUGGAAAGGAGCUAGUGGAAGAAGUAAGGAAGAUUGAGAAGAACAUCAAUGCUGGCAGCACUAUUUCUUCACAACUUGAGUUGAGUGUGGCUGAGAUAUCCAUGGAUACAUGUGAGGUUCCAACACCUUCACAUUUCGUUGAGCAAGUUAGCAAGUGCCUUGAGCAAGAGAUACCUCAGAUUGAAGAAGAUGAACUAGAAGACAAGGAACAAGAUGGUCAAGAGCUGCAAUUCCCAAGUGAUCAAGUUGAAGACUCAUCAUCUAUUACUCCUGAAGAAGUACAAGAAGCUGCUGUAGAUGAAGAUGAAGAACAUGAGAUUCAUUUGCCUAUUGUCAUACCAGAGUGUGAUGUGUCAGGUUUACUCAAUCCUCUUGAUGACAUGAUGCCUUGUGAUUUCUUUGCUACCACCUUGCAUUACAUGAUACCAUCACUUAAGAUUGAUUUGAAAACUCAUUUGCUUGGAUAUGAUGAUAUAUACCGUGUUAGUGGAAUUGCUCUCAUUUGUGAUGAUCACAAUUACUUUCCUCAUGCUAGUCUUGAGCUUAAUGAUAAAUGUCAUCCUCGUGUGAGUAUUGACCAUGCUGAUUUCUGCCAUCCUAAACAUGUGCUUUAUAGUUAUGCUUAUAUAAUUGGAUAUUCCAUUGAUGACUUGGAGGGCAUCGACCGUAUCACUUGUAGUUGUUUGUGUGAGUCCUAUUUCAGGCUUUUGCUACUACACUGUUUACUACAUGCUGACCAGGUUCGAGGUGACAUUCCUUGGGAUCCUGGUGGAGUCAGAGCAUGGCGAUGAGGGGAGCACAAACAGGGAACACAAACAGAGAAGAGUGGAGAGAAGAAAGUAGGAGAGAAGAGUAUACAAAUACCAGGUGAUUCUGUUCCACUUGAAGCAACCUUUAGAAAAUUUAGUACGAGAACUGGCAUUUUAUUGCAUUGAAACACUUUUUGCAUUGUGACACCUUACUCUUCACUGCAAAGUAGGAUUCACUCCAAGAAGAUUGUUGAUUCUCUUAAUACUAAAACUAUGCAGCUGUAUUCUUCUUAUGGUAAUUUGUGAUAAUGAAUACUUUAUACCUCCAUGUAAAUGUUCAAUGGGAAUGCGUUGAGUCUAAGUGAAACCUACUAAUGAAUUGAUGUGCUGUGUCUGACUGUCCGAAGUUAAGCUAAGUAACUGGUGGCACUUAAGUAGUAGCUAUGAUCUCUGGAUCUGUAGUAUGUGAAAAACAGUGCCAUUAGCUAUGGAUUCCUCUUUCAAUUAUUCCUAUUUUACUUAAGCUAAGUAAUUUUCAAAUAACUAUAUAAAAUAAUUAUAAUAAUUUAAGUCCGAUCGACCUAUAGUAGCAUGUCAUGUUCCCUGGAUCGGUGGCUUGUGAAAUCUGGUAGAUUGGACUGUAAAAAAAUUUAUAUAAAAAAUGCUAUAAUUUGUCGAACCAGGUGUAUACCAUGUUCUCGGGAUCGGUGGUAUGUUCCUUAGGGGAGAUAAUAACAAAAAAAUAUGCUAAUAAUUUGUCGAACCAGGUGUAUACCAUGUUCUCGGGAUCAGUCGUAUGUUCCUUUGGGGAGAUAACAAAAAAAAUAUACUAAUAAUUUGGUCGAGCCAGGUGUAUACCAUGUUCUCGGGAUCGGUGGUAUGUUCCUUUGGUGAGACUGAUAUAAUAUCAUCACUUGUGCUUUAAAUUCAAUAAGUAACUUGUUUUUCUAAUUGAUUUUGGGGUCCCAGCUUAUCUCAGGGCUGAAGACAGAGCCAGCUCUUGAUUAUUAGUAUUCACUUUGACUCAAGGCCAUUGACUUGGAACAUUUACAGUGUGUUAUAAAAUAUUUCUUAUCACAAUUUAGCUUUAGUAGAGUACAUUUGCUUAGUUCCAGUAUUGUCGGAAUUACUAUCUAUCGGAAAGUGCAUCUUUACUAGGCAGUGUGAGUUGUGUCACCAUCAAUUUUUUUUCCUUUGCUUGAGGACAAGCAAAGAUUUAAGUGUGGGGGAACUUGAUAAGCACAUUUCUUAUAUACUAUUUGGGCACACAAAUUCACCUUUUAUUGAGAUAUAUCCAUCCAUUCUUGCUAUGACUUGUUGAAUAUUCGAAUGAUAAUCAUAAAAGAGAAUGUUGACUAGUGAAUUGUUUAUUUUGCAGAAGAGUGCGCAAAGGCACUAUAAUCGUCAAGACUUCUACUAUGUGGCUAACGAGAAGAGAGAAGGGCAUGAAAGAAAUACGUCAAGGCUUGAGCGUGAAGGAAAGAAGUAAUGUAGGGGAGCAAACUAAAAGAAGAGGAGGAUCUUCUUGGGAAGAGAGAAGAAAGGAGGAGGGCCAAAGUAAAAAAAAGACACAACAGAGGAGGGGAUCAAAAAUCCCUAGCGCAGCCGAUCCCCAUCGGGCCUGGCUCAUCUCUCUCUCUCCCUCACCCCUCCUUCUCCACCUCCGGCCGCCACCACGGCCAGGCCGGCGUGUUGGUGCGCCUCCCACCUCAUCACCCAUCUCCAUCCACCACUCCACCAUCACCUCCAUCCAUCAGCGCCGUGCCACCCAGCACCUCCACCAUGCACCACCAGCACCACUCCAGAUCCACCUCACGCAACUCACCAGACAGAGGGUCGGCGGUGUCUGAUCCAUCGCGCGCCCGAUGCUGGUGCCUCCUUCUUCAACCUGCUGCUUCUUCUUCCUCACCUCCGCUGCUGUUGCUCCUGCUCUUCUUGCGCUCAUGUUGCUGCUCCUCUGAACCCCUCGUACUGCUGCUCCUAAUCUUCUCCAACUUGCUGCUGCUCUGCUUACUCUAUCUCCUUGCACCGCUGCUGCUGCUUCUCCCGCGCGCCCCAACCUGCUGCUGCUCUUCCCCCACGAAUCUGCUACAGCUCCACUCUCUAGGGCCUCCUUUGCUGAUUCUUUGCUCUGAACCUCAAGUUGCUACUGCUUCUUCUUCUCACGUCACUGCUACUGCUCUUCUUUUCUUUCCCCUACUGUUGCUCCUUCUCUGAACCUCACGAUGCUGCUCCAUCUCCUAAACGCUGCUGCUUCUUCCUUGGCCUCCUGCUCUGCUCCUAAUCUGAACCAUAAAUUGCUGCUACUCCCCUUCAUUCUCUAAAUUUCUGUAGACUUGAGAUCAUAUGUAAUAUUCAUAUUUGGCUAGUGCUUGAAACUUGCUAUUGGUUCAGAUUUGUAACUGUAUAAUAAUGCUAUGACAUGUUCAGUUUUAGACUGGUGAUUGUUUAGUACUGUAGUACUGUUUUUGUUCAUCGGAGAGUAUUAGAACAGUGCCCUGUAAUACCAUGUUCUUAUUUGUGUGUGUGUGUGUGUGUGAAAUAUAUUAAUUAUGUACUGCACUUGCUACUGAUUAGUGUCCAGUUUACUGUAGACUGUUGCUCAAGUUCCUGUGAUAUAUAUCAUGUUUGACAGUUUAGUCUUCUAGUUAUUGUUGCACUGAUUUAUGUCAAGAAGAUUUGGCUAGUGUGAUGUGAGUCCAGUACAUGUGCUUUAUAAUCCUGUUUGUAACCGGUGUUCAUUUUGUAGUCCCAGUGAUAUAUCUUGUACCUUGUGCUAGCUAUGAACCUGUGAUAUAUAUGUGUGUGUUAUGUUCAUGUCCUUUUACUUCUCUUGUCAUUGAUGAUAGCUUUUGUUAGUAUCUUAAUUUCUCAAGCAUUACGAAAAUACCAAAAAGAUUGUUGAAGAUAAUUUGAACCUUCCUU
rnacentral:lncRNA from 1 species